AUGAAGAUCUCAGAGAUGCGACCGUGCCUCCCGCGAACAGGAAGUUCACCCGCGGCCGGGAGCGGGGCGGCGGGAGUGACAGCUGGCCCGGCCCGCACCUCCCCGCCCUCCCGACGCCGGCCGGGGACGCCCCCGCGCCGCCGAGCCCCGGCCGCAGGCCCCCGGCGCCGCGCCGGCGACGGGAGGGGAGGCUCCGGAGGGGCCCGGGCCGGGGGUCGGCCAGGCCCCGCCGCCACCGCCCGAGAAAAUGGAGGCAGCCCCGGGGCCCGCGGACCGGCCGGGCCGGGCAGGCGGAAGCCGGGCAGCGUCCGCGCCGCGAGCAGGGCCGGGCCGGGGUCACUCACGGGGCUGGGCCGGGCGGCUCCCUCUCCGCCUCAGCGUCGUCGCCGUCCCCGUCCUCGGCCGCCGCCGCCGCCUCGGGCUGCUCGCUCGGUCCCCGCGGCGCGGCUCGGGCGCUCGGCCCCUCCGUUGUCUUCCGCCCGCUCCUGCUCCCGGCGACGGGCUCCCGCGGCGGCGGCGGCGGCUGCGCGGGCGGACGGCGGCCCAGGGGCUCCCGCGGCGGCCGCCGCACUGCUGCGCUCGCUCGCGCGCUCGGGCUGCGGCUGCGGCUGUGCUGCGGGGCCCGACGCCGCCUUCGCCCUCGCCCUCGCCGUCCCCGGCUCCUGGAGGCUCGCUCUCUCCCAGGCCGCGCCGCUCCCCGCUCCCGGCCCGAGCCCGGCUUUGACGUGCGCACUGCGCAGCCGCCGAGGGCGCGACGUCGGGCGGCGCCGCAACGCCCCCCUCGGCCUCGGGCGCCCCCGGGCGGCCGGGCGGACUCAGCGCUGGAAUCCGCGCCCAGGCCGAGGAGAGAGCGGACGCGGGGAAAAGCAGAAGUCAGUACCGGAGUUCCUCUUCUGUCGUCUGCCGCUUAAAUGUCAGUGCUCAGCCCCUUCUCGUCUGUCUAAGCACUCUUCCUGGAGGAGUCUCACGCCCACUUUCUACGACCACUUCCUCGACUCUUAG
rnacentral:lncRNA from 1 species